rnacentral:sRNA from 1 species
UAUACUUUUGAAUACACAUAAAUUGUGGCUAACAUUUUCACACUCUGCAAGAUUUAUUCGUUUUCAAAACGAAAACAUUUUCGUUGACGAAAUUAAAAGUAAACGGCAUUUUAUACAACGAAACGAACCUUAAUUACAAAAGGAAUACCCUAUAUCAGAGCAAAAACUUGUGAAAACUGGAGAGCCUUAAAACGAAACGUUUUAGCUGAACACGUAAUCCGCUAAAGUAAUUGAAAAACGGAGCCUGCCUGAAUGUAAUGAAUUUAAUAAGAACAAAUUUUCAAAAAGGGUAAGAAAUUCCACUUUUGACCACAU